rnacentral:rRNA from 1 species
AUGCAUCAGCUUCGGCUCAUCACCAACAUGAGGGCUCAUAAUGACACGUGGUUUGCCGAUUACUUGCUAAGGGUCGGCAAUGGCACUGAGGAAGUUGAUGAUCAAGGCAAGAUAGUACUCCCUGAAAAUAUUUGUCUGCCGUCUACAGGCGAGGUUGACGACCUGGAGAAGCUUAUUGAGCACGUAUUUCCGAGUCUAGAGGACAACAUGGCUGAUUUGAAUUACAUGACAUCUCGAGCAAUCCUUUCCACAACUAACGACAAUGUAGACAAAAUAAACAUCCGCAUGAUAGAG